CGCAAUUGUCAUGAACUUAAUUUCUUAGAAGAUUCUUAAUCGUAAUUAUCAGCAUCUCCUUGUUCUAAGGCUUCUUCCAUCAACUUGAAAGUAGCGCGGAUAGGCAAGCCUACAACAUUGGAAAAGUCACCUAUGAUAGACUCAAUCAAUAAGGCGCCGUGACCCUAAACUUAGUCAGCAAAGUCAUGCGUAAAAAUUUAAAAAAAACAAAAAAUGCUAUAAUUCAUUAUUUGAAAGCACGCACGGUUCAGGCACUUCCAUCACCCUAAAAACAGCCAAAAACAUACCUGUAUAGCAUAGCCUCCGGCUUUAUCUGAACCUUCGCCACAACGAACAUAAGCUUCGAGAAAUUCGUCAGUUAUGGAAGGGUCAAACUUCACCUGAGUUUCUUCAAGGUGUGUUUUCAUAACAUAACCUGGAUGAAUAGGCACUUCCAUAGGCACAAUAACACUGACAGCAGUAAAUACUUUAUGGGGUGUUUUAGAAUUUCUGAGCUUUUUCAGCAUGGCAAGGUGAUGCUUGGGAUCGUUGGGCUUCUCCAUAAUCUCAGAAUCCAAAAUCAAUAUAGUAUCGGCGGAUACAACUAUGUCUGGUGAAUCUUCUUCGGCGGCCUAAGUAGAAAAAAUGCGUUAAUAUAGAAAAACAAGACAACUUUAGAGACUUCAGUGUGAAACUCUCUGUAAAGAAAAAUUUAAAUUAAACAUCCAUACCAGUUUCUCAUAAACUGCAAUCGCUUUCUGUACCGAAGUGUCAGCAGCAUAUUCCCAAGGAGUUAUGUACAUAGAUUUAUUUAAAUCUUCGGGGAAUCCGGAAACGCAGGUUUCAACAUUAGGAAAUCCCUAUUUUAAAUCAACAUUAGUUUACGAACACGACCAAACGAAUGAAAUUAAGAGACGAACUCCAAAACUUCUAAGUAACACAAAACAGAGAAUCAUAAAUAAGAAUAAUUUAUUAAGAUACAACACAAUUUUUACGGGCAAUGCUUCAUGGAAAAUAUAAUAACGACAGCAAUUGAUACUUUUUUUAGGAAGCAAUUGCUUGGGUAGAUUACAUGAUUCAAAAAAUUGUCUCCAUUUUUUAUUUUUCUUACCAUCUGUUCAAAUAACUGCUUUCUGCGAGGGGAUCCUGAAGCCAAAAUAAUCCUUUUAUCUUUUAAUUGACGGUGCAUUGACGUUUCCAAAGUAAAAUGAGAAUCGUAAGAAGGAGGAGACGUAUCCAUUUUUUCGUUGCUCAUUUUGAAAAUAUAAAGAAGUAAACUUUGAAAAAUGAUUUGAACUCAACAAAUUUAACUCAAAGUUGUUUUUUGCAAAUUUUGUGUUUCUUUUUCUAUUACCAAUAGGUACGGAUGCAACGAAGCACAUAAACAUUUAAUAGUGACAUACAAUAGGACCCCAUAUCUUUCGAGCUCGCUAUAUUGUACAGUCAAAGGUAUUAAAAAAAUGUGAAUUGUAUACGAGUAAAAAAAAAAAUCAGGACCGAUUUUAAUGUGAAGAGAAGCUUUGAAAGAGAUUUUUCGCAUGUAUUAUGGCGUUGGUAGCUUCUGCAGUCAUUUU